AUUGAACGCUGGCGGAAUGCUUUACACAUGCAAGUCGAGCGGCAGCGCGGGGGCAACCCUGACGGCGAGCGGCGAACGGGUGAGUAAUACAUCGGAACGUGUCCUUAAGUGGGGGAUAGCUCGGCGAAAGCCGGAUUAAUACCGCAUAAGCUCUGAGGAGGAAAGCGGGGGCUCCGUAAGGACCUCGCGCUGUUGGAGCGGCCGAUGUCGGAUUAGCUAGUUGGUGGGGUAAAGGCCCACCAAGGCGACGAUCCGUAGCUGGUCUGAGAGGAUGAUCAGCCACACUGGAACUGAGACACGGUCCAGACUCCUACGGGAGGCAGCAGUGGGGAAUUUUGGACAAUGGGGGCAACCCUGAUCCAGCCAUUCCGCGUGAGUGAAGAAGGCCU
rnacentral:rRNA from 1 species